rnacentral:ncRNA from 1 species
AUACUGAUACAGGGCUCUUCUGGGACUUGUAAUUGGAACGAGUACAAUCUAAAUCCCUUAAUGAGGAACAAUUGGAGGGCAAGUCUAGUGCCAGCAGCCGCGGUAACUCUAGCUCUAA